rnacentral:lncRNA from 1 species
ACAGGGAAAAAAAAGAUGAAAGAACACAUGUUUCACAUGCAUUUGCUUGGUGUCAGCUUCUCCAAGUAGCAUUCAAUGCAGGAUGGGACUGGAUUGAAUAGAGAAAUCCUUAGCUCUUCUAGCUAAUUAAAGAGGAAUGAAGGCAGAAAAAUAUAGGAUAAGAUUUGGAUAGUGACGCAGGCUGAUGGUACCUGUGAUGGAUGGAGGAGAUAGUCCGGUCUGAGAAGCAUGAGAUAUGAUUCAAUGGAAGCCGACCGAUGUGGGAGGAUGGGGCUAUAAAUACAUCCCUAUCGGUAUUGCACAGCAA